rnacentral:rRNA from 1 species
GAUGAACGCUGGCGGCGUGCCUAAUACAUGCAAGUCGAGCGAACGGACGAGAAGCUUGCUUCUCUGAUGUUAGCGGCGGACGGGUGAGUAACACGUGGAUAACCUACCUAUAAGACUGGGAUAACUUCGGGAAACCGGAGCUAAUACCGGAUGAUAUUUUGAACCGCAUGGUUCAAAAGUGAAAGACGGUCUUGCUGUCACUUAUAGAUGGAUCCGCGCUGCAUUAGCUAGUUGGUAAGGUAACGGCUUACCAAGGCAACGAUGCAUAGCCGACCUGAGAGGGUGAUCGGCCACACUGGAACUGAGACACGGUCCAGACUCCUACGGGAGGAAGCAGUAGGGAAUCUUGCGCAAUGGGCGAAAGCCUGACGGAGCAACGCCGCGUGAGUGAUGAAGGUCUUCGGAUCGUAAAACUCUGUUAUUAGGGAAGAACAUAUGUGUAAGUAACUGUGCACAUCUUGACGGUACCUAAUCAGAAAGCCACGGCUUACUACGUG